UACGUAGGGGGCGAGCGUUGUCCGGAAUGACUGGGCGUAAAGGGCGUGUAGGCGGUUUUUUAAGUCUGGAGUGAAAGUCCUGCAUUCAAUGUGGGAAUUGCUUUGGAUACUGGACGACUUGAGUGCGGAAGAGGUAAGUGGAAUUCCAAGUGUAGCGGUGAAAUGCGUAGAGAUUGGGAGGAACACCAGUGGCGAAGGCGACUUACUGGGCCGUAACUGACGCUGAGGCGCGCAAGCGUGGGGAGCGAACAGGAUUAGAUACCCUGGUAGUCCACGCGGUAAACGAUGAAUGCCAGGUGUUGCGGGUAUCGACCCCUGCAGUGCCGGAGUAAACACAAUAAGCAUUCCGCCUGGGGAGUACGGCCGCAAGGUUGAA
rnacentral:rRNA from 1 species